rnacentral:rRNA from 1 species
UACGAAGGGUGCUAGCGUUGCUCGGAAUCACUGGGCGUAAAGGGCGCGUAGGCGGCGUUUUAAGUUGGGGGUGAAAGCCUGUGGCUCAACCACAGAAUUGCCUUCGAUACUGGGUCGCUUGAGUGUUGUAGAGGUUGGUGGAAUUUGGAGUGUAGAGGUGAAAUUCGUAGAUAUUCGCAAGAACACCGGUGGCGAAGGCGGCCAACUGGACCAUCACUGACGCUGAGGCGCGAAAGCGUGGGGAGCAAACAGG